UUUCAUAUCAUCAUAUGCUCUGAAGCUUUGAUGAUAGUGCUACAGUUCGUGAAUUUGCGAAAAGAUGGGAUGUAUUGACUGUAGAAAUUGAGCAUGUUGAUGUUGCAACCAUGGAGAUGCUUGAGCAACAAGGAGUGGAAUCCCAACCCAGAGCCUCAACUAUUUGAAUAAUUCAGGGAAAACAUUUGUCACACAGUCAAGGCACCAGCUAAUGUGUCAUGGGAUAUUGGGAAACAUGCUACUGAUGUUGCCUACAAAGCUGUUAGCUCAUUAGAAGGUGCUGGUGUGUUUGCAGUUGAAUUAUUUUUGACUGAGGAGGU